GUUUCAAUUCCUCAUAGGCAGGCUAUCGGCAGAGCCACGGAAACGAGGGAGAUGGGUAUAUUAUACG
rnacentral:sRNA from 1 species